rnacentral:rRNA from 1 species
AUCUAAGUACCCCGAGGAAAAGAAAUCAACCGAGAUUCCCCCAGUAGCGGCGAGCGAACGGGGAGGAGCCCAGAGCCUGAAUCAGCAUGUGUGUUAGUGGAAGCGUCUGGAAAGGCGCGCGAUACAGGGUGACAGCCCCGUACACAAAAGCGCAUGUGCUGUGAGCUCGAUGAGUAGGGCGGGACACGUGGUAUCCUGUCUGAAUAUGGGGGGACCAUCCUCCAAGGCUAAAUACUCCUGACUGACCGAUAGUGAACCAGUACCGUGAGGGAAAGGCGAAAAGAACCCCGGCGAGGGGAGUGAAAAAGAACCUGAAACCGUGUACGUACAAGCAGUGGGAGCCCCACCACCAAAGCGUUUCGCUUUGUGUGGUGCACAAAGAAGCGUAACGACAGCACUG